AUUGAACGCUGGCGGCAGGCCUAACACAUGCAAGUCGAACGAGUGGCGGACGGGUGAGUUAUGUCUGUGCCACUGCCUGAUGGAUGGGGAUCACUACUGGAAACGGUUGCUAAUUCCGCAUACCAUCAGAUGUGCCCAGAUGGGUUUAGCGAGGUGGUGGGGUAACGGCUCACCAAGGCGACGAUCCCUAGCUGGUCUGAGAGGAUGACCAGCCACACUGGAACUGAGACACGGUCCAGACUCCUACGGGAGGCAGCAGUGGGGAAUAUUGCACAAUGGGCGAAAGCCUGAUGCAGCCAUGCCGCGUGUAUGAAGAAGGCCUUCGGGUUGUAAAGUACUUUAAGCGGGGAGGCGUUACCAGCAGAAGAAGCACCGGCUAACUCCGUGCCAGCAGCCGCGGUAAUUC
rnacentral:rRNA from 1 species